AGGGCCUGUUUGGGAUUGAGGUGAUUAAAAAAAAAGCUACUAUGAAAAAAAGCUAUGAAAAUUUUUGGUGUUUGGUAAACUUUGAAAAGCAGCUUUGUUUCAAAGUUGAGGGUGAAAAAAAGCCCAAAACCAGGAGAUGACAAGAAGCUGCAAUUUGCAGCUUCCAAAAGCAGCUUAUUUUCACCCACACACGGGUGAACAAUGUACACGUUUAAUGAAAUAUGAAUAACCCAAAACUGCCCUCCCUUUCCCUUCACCUACGCUCUCACCUUUCCAGAGCUCUCUCGCACGCUCUUCACCUCAGAGCUCUCUCGCAUAACCUGAACCAGAGCGAUCUUUCUCGUUCUCUCAUUCUCUCGUUCUCUCGUUCCAAAAACUAGCGAACUCGUUCUCUCGUUCCAAAAACUAGCGAACUCGUUCUCUCGUUCUCCAGGUUUCUCCAGGACAUCUUACAUCCAGGAGUGAUGUAUAUAGUUUUGGCGUGGUUUUACUCGAGAUGCUGACCGGCAGAAGAUCCAUGGACAAAAACCGACCCAAUGGCGAACAUAACCUUGCGGAAUGGGCACGGCCACAUCUAGGAGAAAGAAGAAGAUUCUACCAGUUGAUAGACCCUCGGCUUGAAGGCCACUUUUCGAUAAAAGGUGUCCAAAAAGCCGCACAACUAGCUGCCCACUGCCUUAGUCGAGAUCCAAAAGCCAGGCCCCUAAUGAGUGAAGUUGUGGAAGUCUUAAAGCCCCUACCAGCCCUCAAGGAUAUGGCAAGCUCAUCAUAUUAUUUCCAGACAAUGCAAGGUGACCGUGUCGGUUCCAGCCCAAAUACCAGAAACAACGUCAGACCGCAAGGAGGAUUGCUGAUGAGGAACGGGCAUCAUCAGCAGAGGAGCCUUUCGAUACCAAAUGGUACCCAUGCUUCUCCAUAUCACCAUCAACAUCCCCAUCCAUCGCCAAAACCUAAUGUAAAACCGUAAGAUAGGGUUGGCAGCUCUUUGUAUCAUUUCCCACCUCCUGUGAGCAAUCAUUUUCUUCUUUUCCCCCCUUUUUCCGCUUCCUCGAUCCGUAUAAAUGUAAUUUUCGGUUAAAGCAUUUGUUCUUGAACCAACUGGAAAAUCAGCAGAGAUUCAUGUUUGCUUUUGAUGUUAUGUUUAGAAUGUAAGGGCAGGCCAAGCUUCUUUGAGCAAAAAUUUGUUAUGCAAUAUCUUGUGAGAAAGACCAUAAUUGUUGCCUCCCCUUAA